GAAAUGCGAUAAGUAAUGUGAAUUGCAGAAUUCAGUGAAUCAUCGAAUCUUUGAACGCACAUUGCGCCCGUCAGCAUUCUGGCGGGCAUGCCUGUUCGAGCGUCAUUUCAACCCUCAGGACCCCCCUUUCGCGGGGAGGGACCUGGCGUUGGGGAUCGGCCCGCCCCCGCGGCGGCGCCGUCCCCGAAAUCUAGUGGCGGUCUCGCUGCAGCCUCCCCUGCGUAGUAGUUACAACCUCGCAUCGGAGCGCGGCGCGGCCACGCCGUAAAACCCCCGUCUUUCUGAACGUUGACCUCGGAUCAGGUAGGAAUACCCGCUGAACUUAAGC
rnacentral:misc_RNA from 1 species